CAUGCAGUCGAGCGGAGUGAUGGUGCUUGCACUAUCACUUAGCGGCGGACGGGUGAGUAAUGCUUAGGAAUCUGCCAUUUAGUGGGGGACAACAUUCCGAAAGGAAUGCUAAUACCGCAUACGUCCUACGGGAGAAAGCAGGGGAUCUUCGGACCUUGCGCUAAAUGAUGACGCUAAGUCGGAUUAGCUAGUUGGUGGGGUAAAGGCCUACCAAGGCGACGAUCUGUAGCGGGUCUGAGAGGAUGAUCCGCCACACUGGGACUGAGACACGGCCCAGACUCCUACGGGAGGCAGCAGUGGGGAAUAUUGGACAAUGGGCGGAAGCCUGAUCCAGCCAUGCCGCGUGUGUGAAGAAGGCCUUUUGGUUGUAAAGCACUUUAAGCGAGGAGGAGGCUACCUGGAUUAAUACUCUAGGAUAGUGGACGUUACUCGCAGAAUAAGCACCGGCUAACUCUGUGCCAGCAGCCGCGGUAAUACAGAGGGUGCGAGCGUUAAUCGGAUUUACUGGGCGUAAAGCGUGCGUAGGCGGCUUUUUAAGUCGGAUGUGAAAUCCCCGAGCUUAACUUGGGAAUUGCAUUCGAUACUGGGAAGCUAGAGUAUGGGAGAGGAUGGUAGAAUUCCAGGUGUAGCGGUGAAAUGCGUAGAGAUCUGGAGGAAUACCGAUGGCGAAGGCAGCCAUCUGGCCUAAUACUGACGCUGAGGUAC
rnacentral:rRNA from 1 species